rnacentral:lncRNA from 1 species
GUCCAUCUGAUGAGUUAAGCCUUUUUCAACUGAUUUUUAUAGUUCGUUCUUAUAUUGUACUGUUAUACCACUGUCCCCGGUUAGGGUGAGGGUUGGGAUCCCGCUAACAUGUUCAACCCCGCCACAUUAUUUAUGUAUGUGCCUGUCCCAAGUCAGGAGCCUGUAAUUCAGUGGUUGUCGUUUGUUUAUGUGUUACAUAUUUGUUUUUCGGUCAUUUUUUAUACAAAUAAGGC